GGCACCCGGUCCUUCCUUCCAGGCACCUGACCGACCCCAGCGCUAGGGAGCACGGGCCCUGGAGGAGGAAGAGGACCUUCUGGGGCCCAGGCUGACUCAUGGCAGCAUGAGUCACCCCUCCCAGGAAUCAGUCGCAUCCUCUGGUAGCCUCCUCUUUCCUAGCGGCCCAAAGCCUCUCUCCUGGUCUCCCCUACUCAUACCCAUACAGUUCUGGAAGACACGAGAGCCCCUGUGGUCUUUUUCACUUAGAAAGUUCCUCUAUGAUGCUGAAUUCUUACAAGAGAAAUCUUUGGGGGUGUUCCAGUUACCGAUUUGGGGGCCAAGGACUUGGUCCCAAUCUCAGCAUUACCCCUUUUACCUACAAGACUUGGAACCCAUUUCCAGGCCAGUGGGCUUUCUGAGGAAGACAGUGUGGUUGUCUGCCUUCAAGAAGAUGUGUGUCAUGAAUGUCAGAGUGGAAAGGAGUAAAGAGCCCCUGUGAGCUGCUGUCCUUGAAAGGCCAGCAGCAUCUGCAGAAGAACGCCACCCAGCCAGGGACCGCUCUCUUUGGAAUUUCUCCUUACUUUGAAAGCUCUAGGAAAACUGUCGUAUUAUGGAAUGUGCCUGUAGUUCCCUGCUUCUAAGAGCUGGGAAUAUUCCAUAGUAUUUGCCUGCCACAGUUAACUUACCCAUUCCCUUGGAAAUGGAUCAUUAACCUGCCACAAACAAGGCUGAAGUGAAUAUUCUGAUGCCCCGUGCCAAGAAAUGCUCUGAGUGAGAAUCCCAGUAGGGGGUUCUCAGCUCCAGGUGGACGUAUCCUCACUACACUGAGACCCUUCCAGAUUGCUCUCUGAGAUGACUGGACCAAACAGAGCUAUUUAAUUAGGGGCUUAGUACAGUGCUACUAAUUUUAUCGACUAUUAACAAAAGAAUCCUACACUUGUACCUCAGGGUUUAACUCAGCUCUGCCACAGGCUGGCUGUGGGAUCUAGUACAAGCCAUAUCACAUGCCUAGGUCUCAGGGUCCUCUUCUGCCACCUGAGUAUUCCAGACAAAAUCAGCUCCCAGGCCAACGCUAGCCCUUGGAGGAAGGCACCUGAGGGGCAGAAGAGGGGGAAAAGAAACAGCCGUGGACCCCAACUCCUGGCUUUGGAAACCUUAGCAAGUUCCUGAAGAAGAGAGUUUCCUCAUCUUUCAUGUGGAAAUGCCUGUGUAAUAGGACUCCUGUGACAACUAAAUGAAAUGCUCUACACAAAGUACUUGGCACUUUGGGAAGAUGUUCAAGCAAAUGAGAUUUCUUCUCUCUUUCCUUAACUCACAUUUCUUUCCCUGUUUUCAGUUGAAGAAUCCAUC